CUCUUUAUAUUACGGCAACGAUAACGUUGCUAUCGGUUAUUGAGGGCUUAUCCUGUGCUUUUUAUUCCGCUUCGGUGUUCCAGCACCUUUCGAGGAGAGGCGCCCGUCAGGACAGGCUAACAGUUGCCGUAAGCAGUCCCAGAAUUGCAGUGAGACAGGCGAUCUCAGGCGGAGUCAGCCUGGGCCGCUGGCCCUCAAGCAGUGGGUGCGGCGCUCCGCCAUCCCAGAGCCUUUUGCAUAGAAGGGAGAGAGUGCGUGGAUGACCAAAGGGACUUUUUAGGGGCCAGGCCUCUGAGUGGCACCUCCUGUCCCCAUGCUACUGGCUACAGCCUGACAUGUGUCCACCCCAGCCACAGGGGAACCAGGCAGCGUGGGAUGUAGCUAAAGCCGUGUGGUGGAGGCAGCGAGGUCUCCUGCACCCGCGGGGCCCUCAUCCUAUCCAGACUUUACCUUUUACGAAUCUUUACUCCUGGCUUCCUGCAUUGGGGCACCUGCUGUACCAGCCUGUGAGCACCCAGGAGGAGGGAAGGUUUCUUCCACCUUGGCAUCAUCUGCAGGAGGUGGCACUCACUUCUCCUUGAAGGUUGGACUUAGAAUUCACUUCUAUGAACAAAGUAUAGAGACAAGGACAGAAGAAAAAGGGGAAAAGAGUACCUUUACAGUGGAGAAAUCUUGCAGAUACUACAUUAUCAAGUGAUCAAAGUUAACAUCACCAGUACUAAGGCACGGUGACAUCAUGUUCCACAUGAGAUGUGACAAGGACACCUCAGUUCUGUGGGAUUCCCAGUCAAAUCAUGAGAAAACAUCAGCAAACCCAAGUUAAGGGACAUUUUACAAAUACCUGGUCAGCCCUCUUCAAAAAUGUCAAGGUCAUGAAAAACCAGAAGAGAAUGAGCAGCCAUCGCAGAUGGGAGGAGACCAAGGAGACAGGAUGAGUCGGUCCAGCAUGGGGCCUGGAUGGGAUGCUGACGCAUGAAAGGACAUUUAUGGAACAGCCACGGGAAUACAAAUAAAGUCUGUAGUUCAGUUACUAGUUUUGUACCAAUGUUAAUUACGUAGUUUUGAUUAGUCUCAUGGUUACAUAAGAUGUAAACAUGAUGGGAAGCUGGGUGAAAAGUACAUGGGAACUUUCUGGAUCAUCACUGCAAUUCUACAAAUCUAAAAUGACUUUAAAAUAAAUUGUUUUUUUACAUAUCAAAGGAAAAAACACCUCCAUUUUGUGCAAAGAAUAAAUGCAAAGUCCUUUUCAAUUGCCUACAAA